CGAAGCGUCUGAUAAACAUAACGGAGUAGAAAUGAGAAACAUCAUGUUUAUUAAAAUCAAUUAAUCGUUUAUUGCGUUUAAAAACCCGUUUAUAUAAAUAAACAACUUGUUUAUUAAUUUAAAUAAACCAUUAAUUAACUAUCAAAUUCCUAGCUAAAAAAUAUGAACAUUUCUUUGAAAAUUGGCAGUAUAAACGGAGCUUAACAAUACUUUCAAUGUAAGAAGUUUUUUUGCCGAACUGAACGAACAAAUGAAGUGCCGCCGAAUUUCAACGAGCAACAACGAAUAGAACGCAAAUCAUUUAGCAAAAGAAGCCGAGACGAAAAAGUGGUUUAAAGUGAAUAUUAAGAAAAGUGAAGUGAACAUAUUAAAAAAGUAUUUGUGCAUCAGCUAACAAUUAGAUUAGUUAAUAAGAUAUUGGCUUAAAACAACUCCUAUCUUUUAAAAAAUAUUGUUAUUUAAAAUAUGAUAAUUUAGCGGGAGAAGCGUUAGAUCGAUGCUGGAAAGCUUGUACAAACCGAAGGUUAUUGGAUUUAAGAAACUCAAGCUCUACUACCGAAAUUUUUUUGAAAUGGCCGCAAUACAAAUGCCUAAUUGGCUAUCGUAUGAUUGACAUGGAUUUUUGUUUUUUGCACCAAAACGCUGGUCCAGUUCUUGAAAAUUGCGAACUAAUACAGCCCCAAAUUUUGAACUUCCUUUUAAAUGACAACAAUGUGAAGGAAAAAAACAUAUUGGAAGUGUUGGAAAAAUUGUCAAAUGAAGCAUUAAUAUGCACAAUACCUAACAAUUUUCAAGAUUGAGCUUUACUCUGAGGAAAUACAAAAAGGAGAAAAAAACGUUUACGAUUUACCAUCAAGGACUCCCAGAAUUCGUUUGUUUGGGUCGGUGCAACGAUCCAAGCAAUCGAAUAUCACAUGGAAUCAUCAAUUGAGACACAAUAUUUUCAAAAUAAAAUGAACGCAAAGACUCAUUUAUUGAUAAAUGAACUUAACUACAAAAAAUAAAAACUGUAAAAUUAAAUUAACUAGAUCCUUUUUAUUAGUUCGGAAUUCUUUAUUUUCAGAUUUUUAUAAUUUUCAGCAUAGACUUCGAUAGUGAGAUCCAGGAUGAAGUCACUCAUUGGCGCUGUAAACAGGUUUGUAACUGGAAGUUGGAAACUUUUUUUUAAACAAUAUUAAUAUGAAUGUUUUCUUUUAUACGUUUUAGAUCAAUCUUAUGCUGGACUUACACGACUGAAAAAGUGUCAUCAUUUUUGCCAUAACUUUACUAUGUUUUGUCAAAAAACACGCUUUUGACGAUAUAUGGUAAAAGUAUGGCAAAAGUAAUAAACUUUUGCAGCCAUGUAAAUCCUCCUGAAAAAAGGGAUUUAUUUUAAUAAUCCUGUUUUUGAAUGUAACAAAUUGGUUUAAUAAACGCAAUAAACAAAUUUAUUGAAAUCAAUAAAUUUUGUUUAUUGUGGUUAUAAAC